AACGAACGCUGGCGGCAUGCCUAACACAUGCAAGUCGAACGAGACCUUCGGGUCUAGUGGCGCACGGGUGCGUAACGCGUGGGAACCUGCCGUUAGGCGCGGAAUAACUCCCCGGAAGGGGUGCUAAUACCGGAUAAUGUCUUCGGACCAAAGAUUUAUCGCCUUUGGAUGGGCCCGCGUUGGAUUAGCUAGUUGGUAGGGUAAAGGCCUACCAAGGCGACGAUCCAUAGCUGGUCUGAGAGGAUGAUCAGCCACACUGGGACUGAGACACGGCCCAGACUCCUACGGGAGGCAGCAGUGGGGAAUAUUGGACAAUGGGCGAAAGCCUGAUCCAGCAAUGCCGCGUGAGUGAUGAAGGCCUUAGGGUUGUAAAGCUCUUUUACCCGGGAUGAUAAUGACAGUACCGGGAGAAUAAGCUCCGGCUAACUCCGUG
rnacentral:rRNA from 1 species